rnacentral:lncRNA from 1 species
AAUGUCUGGGCAGGGGCUGUAAAAUUGGAAUAGGUCCCCCCCCACUCCUUAAUGUGGUGGCAGAGACCCCUGAGGGGAAAUGCAGAGGGCCUUGGUUCUCGGCUGGGCUGUGGAGCUGGGCACUCAGGGAGUUUCACAUAGCCACGAAGCUGCUUUCUCAGGCUCCUCUGGCAGGGAGCGUCAGGAUGAGAAUCCAGACCUGACUGCCACCCAGCCCUCUCACUUCGCAGAUGCAAAAAUCCAGACUCAGAAAGGGAGGUAACUUCUCCAACAGGGCGGGGUCUGAAGCCCAGGGUCCCGACCCCACCAAGCUGGCCCUGCAGGAGCCUCCUGAGAGGUGUCUCGGGAGCAGACCCAGGGGAAGGGGGCACUGUGCACUCUUGCCGGGUAGGCAAAAGUCUGUCUGCUUCUUGGCAGCUGUGUGGCUUCAAAGCCCAGACAGCAGGGACUGAAGACUGAGCAAGCCACCCCUCUCCUGUCCCAGACCCACCUGAACCCACCAAAGCUGGGAAAGGAGGGGUAGUGGAGACUCCAGAAAAACAGGAAAAAUUUAAACUCAACCACUAAGUAAAGCAUCAUUAACUCCUGUUGUGCUGAGCCCACAAACAGCCCCAGCACUCACUGUUCUACUGUCUGUCGCUGUGCAUUUGACAACUCUAGGGACCUCAUCAUAUAAUCAUGAAUGGAGUCUCUACGAGGGCAGGGAUGUUGGUUGGCUGUAUCCUCGGGCUGGAAGAGCACUGGCACGCAGCAGGCACUGAAUAGAAUUUCUAAAUAUACAAACGGAUGAACCAAUGGAUGGAUGGAUGAAUGAAGACCCUGUAUAGGUCAAUGCCUCAAAUGUCUGUGCCUGGCCUGGAGUUAUGUCCCUCACCCCCACUGUAGACUAACUCCUGGUCCCACCCUACGGCUUUGGAACUGAAGCCACAGGCCUACCAUCCCUGAGAGGUAGCGGUGCUCAGCGUGGCAGGACGCCCCACUUGAUGGUAGGCUUCUCCCAGAUGGCUAACUGCUUCGAGUCUUUCCCCCAGAUGUAACAUGUCUAUGGGAGGAUUAUGACAUGGGUAGAUGAGAGUCCCCAGCCAUGGAGGUGACAAUGUGCCCUGGAGCCUCACAAGGCAGCAGCCACCAGGAAGAGGCAUGGAGGCCAGGAAGGUCCUGGAACACCAGAAUUUGGCCAACAGAGCCUGAAGCCAGCACAUCGUGGAGGGGCAGCAGCCUGGGGGCAUUCGGGAGACCUGGAGAUGUGGCAGCUGGCCAGGAGCUGGGGUACAACCUUGACAAUCACUAACCUCUCACUUCCUCGUCCUGCCAGGCUAUUUAUAGCCUCCCUCUCUCUGAAAACUCCUUCACCCAUUUUUCUGAGCUUAACAAGCUUGGUGAAUUGAAAUCAGGUGGACCACCUCCCCAACCUCAGCAAGCCUGCUGGGGUGACUGCACUCAGGCCAGGCCUGCUGGCAGCUCCUGCUCCAUGACAGGGACCCUUGAGGGCCUGCUGAGAGUCACAGGGUUGGGGUGACCCCGGGAAGGUGGCAUCUAAAGAGAGGGCAGCAGCUGGGCACCCAGGCAGACCUCAGCCAGAGAUGCUGGACGAUGGUGACCCCAGAAGGGCUCAGCUCACCCCAGGCCUCCUCCCUGCUUCAGGAAAAACAAACAGAUUGGGACAGUGGAAAAACAGCUGUACCUUUAAAUUAUCUGGCCCACAGAUAUGAAAAACAUUUGCAUGCUGAAGCUGUUUGCAUCUUCGGUUAUUUUUAGGGUGAACCCAGUUGCCUCCCCUUGGAACCAGAUGAAGCCCCAGAGGCACGUAGUCCUUUUUCCCAGACGGGGGUCCUGGUCCUGUUUCCCUGGGAAUAAGGCUUGAGCAUGAGCUCUCUGGGACCCAGCCCCCGACCAGAACCACACCGUGCAUUCAGGCUUGGGAGGAACUGGAGCACCAGGGAGCCAAGGCUGCAACUUUGAACAUUUGCCACUGCUGACAUCGUGGCCACCCACCUGGGGCCAGAAAGAGCCCCUCCGCUGCCCCCAGAGCAUGGGUGAAGAGACGAACGCUUAGCCUACUACCUCCUCUCAUGCCAGGCCCAGCUGAUGGGAAUAUUUUGCUGAGAUAUUUCUAGCACCAGCAGCAAUUAAAGCAGAUUUUCUCUUCCACUCCCCUUCCCCAAAACAAGAAUAAAUCAGUUCUACCAAU